ACUCCAGUCGUGCUUUGUCUAUGGAUAUGUCCUGGACCUUGUCCUUGUGUUUUACCUGUUGUUUUUUUCUGUUGGAAUUUUUGCUGGGCAUUUAUGGAUUGUUGGACACCUGAACAAGUAAGGUGGAUGUCUUGAACUUGUGUUGACUGUGUAUGAGUCUGACUGACUGUGAGGAGCUGUGUGCUGAUGCUGUUCCUGUCUGCCAGAGUGGUCGGAUCAGCCCUGAAUGAAUCUUCCACAGCAGAGAACAAAAACACACUUAAGCAUGCACUGUGGUACCGAUGUACACAUGGUCUGUUGUUGUUGUGUUAAGGGUCAUUCUUACUGUGUUGUGGUGUGGACACAGUGAGAGGCUUCAGGAGUGGGUGUGAUGCAAAUGGUCUGUUACUAAGCAGGAAGACAUCCUUUAUGAAUUAGGGGUCUAAGGGAGUGUGUGAGAAACAGAGAGAGAGAGAAUAGAUGUUUUUCACCCCUGCUUCAGUAUCAGUGUCCCAUCUUCCCACACUGAGGCUGUCGAGCUGUUUUAAUGAUGCCUGUCUUUCUUCACUGCUUGUGGUGGUGGUCACACAGGGAAACACACUGAGUGGUGGUCUCCCCAGAAAGAUUCCAUUAACAUUCUGGUGAGAUAGCAUCUCGCAACACAACGUCAACGAAGGGAGGCAGACCAGAUUUGUUGAAUGUCCCAUGUACCCCGUGUGUGUUUUAGUGACAAAUUUUCUCUCAGCGCCACUGUGAGACUGAAACAGAAAACAGACUGGAUGACACACUAACUAGAGAUUAUUGUUCCCUAUAGAUUCUGUACAUCUACACACACACAGCUGAAUAAAUUACACGCUAAUCUCACAGCUAGUUUCUUAAAGGUCACAUAUUGUGCAAAAUAAACUUCAGCAUGUUGUUCUAACACUA